UACGAAGGGGGCGAGCGUUGUUCGGAUUUACUGGGCGUAAAGGGCGCGCAGGCGGCUAUUUUUGUCAGGCGUGAAAGCCCCGGGCUUAACCUGGGAACUGCGCUUGAGACGGGAUGGCUAGAGAUCGGGAGAGGAGAGUGGAAUUCCCAGUGUAGAGGUGAAAUUCGUAGAUAUUGGGAAGAACACCGGUGGCGAAGGCAGGUCUCUGGGCCAAUACUGACGCUCAUGCACGAAAGCGUGGGGAGCAAACAGG
rnacentral:rRNA from 1 species